rnacentral:tRNA from 1 species
GAAGGGAUUCGCUCCCCGGUGGGGCGGCCGGACUUCAAAUUCGGUUAAGCACGCCAGCGUGCUUGGGUGGGUUCGACUCCCACUCCCUUCCGCCA